rnacentral:rRNA from 1 species
CGUGUAGGCGGCUUGGUUAGCGGAGUGUGAAAGCCCGGGGCUCAACCCCGGAACUGCAUUCCGAACUGCCGAGCUAGAGGACAGGAGGGGGAUCUGGAACUCUAGGUGGAGCGGUGAAAUGCGUAGAUAUCUAGAGGAACGCCGGUGGCGAAAGCGAGAUCCUGGCCUGUCCCUGACGCUGAGGCGCGAAAGCGUGGGUAGCAAACAGGAUUAGAUACCCUGGUAGUCC